rnacentral:rRNA from 1 species
GACGAACGCUGGCGGCGUGCUUAACACAUGCAAGUCGAACGGAAAGGCCCUGCUUUUGUGGGGUGCUCGAGUGGCGAACGGGUGGGUAACACGUGAGUAACCUGCCCUUGACUUUGGGAUAGCUUCAGGAAACUGGGGCUAAUACCGGAUAGGAGCUCCUGCUGCAUGGUGGGGGUUGGAAAGUUUCGGCGGUUGGGGAUGGACUCGCGGCUUAUCAGCUUGUUGGUGGGGUAGUGGCUUACCAAGGCUUUGACGGGUAGCCGGCCUGAGAGGGUGACCGGCCACAUUGGGACUGAGAUACGGCCCAGACUCCUACGGGAGGCAGCAGUGGGGAAUAUUGCACAAUGGGCGGAAGCCUGAUGCAGCAACGCCGCGUGCGGGAUGACGGCCUUCGGGUUGUAAACCGCUUUCGCCUGUGACGAAGCGUGAGUGACGGUAAUGGGUAAAGAAGCACCGGCUAACUACGUG